GAAACCGAACAUAGCAUAUUAAAAUGUUGUUCUUGUUCUAAUUUUUUUUUUCUUGUUUUGUUAUUCAUUGUAGACAAAGUAUGUUGGAGGAGAGAGACAAGAAGAAGGAUUUGAGAUAUCAGAUUCAGGACUAAAUCAGAUGGAUAAAACACUCUGUGUUGGAGGGGCACGUAUCGCUUAUAGAAUCUGGGAGGUUGCAGGAGAUGAAACAUCCCAGAAUCACAUUCCAAGUGCUUGUAAAGACUCGGUAACAAUGUUAUUCAUGUUUGAUCUAACAAGUCGGUGUACUUUAAACAGUAUCGUCGGAUGGGAUCAAGAAUCAAGGAAAUGGAAUCAAGUACCCAUGCUUCG